rnacentral:rRNA from 1 species
AUUGAACGCUGGCGGCAUGCCUUACACAUGCAAGUCGAACGGCAGCACGGGUGCUUGCACCUGGUGGCGAGUGGCGAACGGGUGAGUAAUAUAUCGGAACGUACCUUAUUGUGGGGGAUAACGCAGCGAAAGCUGUGCUAAUACCGCAUAAUCCCUUAGGGGGAAAGCGGGGGACCGUAAGGCCUCGCGCAAUUAGAGCGGCCGAUACCUGAUUAGCUAGUUGGUGAGGUAAAGGCUCACCAAGGCGACGAUCAGUAGCUGGUCUGAGAGGACGAUCAGCCACGCUGGGACGGGGACACGGACCAGACUCCUACGGGAGGCAGCAGUGGGGAAUUUUGGGCAAUGGGGGCAACCCUGAUCCAGCAAUGCCGCGUGAGUGAAGAAGGCCUUCGGGUUGUAAAGCUCUUUUGUCAGGGAAGAAACAGCAGCUCUAACACAGUAUGCGAAUGACGGUACCUGAAGAAUAAGCACCGGUUAACUACGUGCCAGCAGCCGCCGUAA